CGAACGGGUGAGUAAUACAUAAGUAACCUGCCCUAGACAGGGGGAUAACUAUUGGAAACGAUAGCUAAGACCGCAUAGGUACGGACACUGCAUGGUGACCGUAUUAAAAGUGCCUCAAAGCACUGGUAGAGGAUGGACUUAUGGCGCAUUAGCUGGUUGGCGGGGUAACGGCCCACCAAGGCGACGAUUGGUAGCCGGACUGAGAGGUUGAACGGCCACAUUGGGACUGAGACACGGCCCAGACUCCUACGGGAGGCAGCAUG
rnacentral:rRNA from 1 species